rnacentral:rRNA from 1 species
CUGCGAGUGAAGCGGGAAGAGCUCAAAUUUGAAAUCGGACGGCCGAGAGGCCCGUCCGAGUUGUAGUCUGGAAAAGCGCCUUCGGGGCCGGACCGUGUACAAGUCCCCUGGAACGGGGCGUCAUAGAGGGUGAGAAUCCCGUCCAUGACACGGGAGCCCGGCCCCCUGAGAUGCGCUCUCGAAGAGUCGAGUUGUUUGGGAAUGCAGCUCAAAACGGGUGGUAAACUCCAUCUAAAGCUAAAUAUUGGCGAGAGACCGAUAGCGAACAAGUACCGUGAGGGAAAGAUGAAAAGCACUUUGAAAAGAGAGUCAAACAGUACGUGAAAUUGCUGAGAGGGAAACGCUUGAAGUCAGUCGCGUCGGCCGGAGGUCAGCCUCGCCCACGGGGGCGGGCGCACUCUGCGGUCGACGGGCCAGCAUCGAUUUUGACCGUCGGAGAAGGGCGGGGGGAAGGUGGCGCCCACGGGCGUGCUUCCGGCCCCCCGUCGGACGCGACGGU